rnacentral:rRNA from 1 species
GGUGGAGCAUGUGGUUAAUUCGAUGCAACGCGAAGAACCUUACCUGGUCUUGACAUAUCUAGAAGUCCUGCAGAGAUGCGGGAGUGGCCUUCGGGAAUUAGAAUACAGGUGCUGCAUGGCUGUCGUCAGCUCGUGUCGUGAGAUGUUGGGUUAAGUCCCGCAACGAGCGCAACCCUUGUCCUUAGUUACCAGCGGGUUAAGCCGGGAACUCUAAGGAUACUGCCAGUGACAAACUGGAGGAAGGCGGGGACGACGUCAAGUCAUCAUGGCCCUUACGACCAGGGCUACACACGUGCUACAAUGGUAGGUACAGAGGGCAGCUACACAGCGAUGUGAUGCGAAUCUCAAAAAGCCUAUCGUAGUCCAGAUUGGAGUCUGCAACUCGACUCCAUGAAGUAGGAAUCGCUAGUAAUCGCGGAUCAGAAUGCCGCGGUGAAUACGUUCCCGGGCCUU